AAUUAAUUAGCUUAUUUAAAGCGUAUAUUUUGAAAAUAUAAGAAAGACAAAAAAUUUAUUAAUUU